GUGAGUGCGCGUGCUAUACAUGCAAGUCGAGCGGACAGAAGGGAGCUUGCUCCCGGAUGUUAGCGGCGGACGGGUGAGUAACACGUGGGUAACCUGCCUGUAAGACUGGGAUAACUCCGGGAAACCGGAGCUAAUACCGGAUAGUUCCUUGAACCGCAUGGUUCAAGGAUGAAAGACGGUUUUCGGCUGUCACUUACAGAUGGACCCGCGGCGCAUUAGCUAGUUGGUGGGGUAAUGGCUCACCAAGGCGACGAUGCGUAGCCGACCUGAGAGGGUGAUCGGCCACACUGGGACUGAGACACGGCCCAGACUCCUACGGGAGGCAGCAGUAGGGAAUCUUCCGCAAUGGACGAAAGUCUGACGGAGCAACGCCGCGUGAGUGAUGAAGGUUUUCGGAUCGUAAAGCUCUGUUGUUAGGGAAGAACAAGUGCGAGAGUAACUGCUCGCACCUUGACGGUACCUAACCAGAAAGCCACGGCUAACUACGUGCCAGAGCCCGCGGUAA
rnacentral:rRNA from 1 species